GUGCAUGGUUUGUUGUCUUUUAAAAAUGAAGAAAAAGUCGGUGGGAGAAGAAGAUAAAGAUGAUGUAUGUGGAGGGAGAGAGCAAGUGAGUGGAUGAUGGUCCAGUGAAAAAUGACGAAGAAAAAUAGUUGGGUGAGGGAAAGUAAGUCGUAAUACAACUUUUUAAGUAGUGGGCUAGUGGUUCACGUUUUUUCCUCCUCUCACCAAAUUUUUUUCUCUUUCUAUUUUGAAUUUUAUGAAAAUGCAGAUGAA
rnacentral:lncRNA from 1 species